rnacentral:rRNA from 1 species
UUAAGCGACUAAGCGUACACGGUGGAUGCCCUGGCAGUCAGAGGCGAUGAAGGACGUGCUAAUCUGCGAAAAGCGUCGGUAAGGUGAUAUGAACCGUUAUAACCGGCGAUGUCCGAAUGGGGAAACCCAGUGUGAUUCGUCACACUAUCGUUAACUGAAUACAUAGGUUAACGAGGCGAACCGGGGGAACUGAAACAUCUAAGUACCCCGAGGAAAAGAAAUCAACCGAGAUUCCCCCAGUAGCGGCGAGCGAACGGGGAGCAGCCCAGAGUCUGAAUCAGCUUGUGUGUUAGUGGAACGGUCUGGAAAGUCCGACGGUACAGGGUGAUAGUCCCGUACACCAAAAUGCACAGGUUGUGAACUCGAAGAGUAGGGCGGGACACGUGGUAUCCUGUCUGAAUAUGGGGGGACCAUCCUCCAAGGCUAAAUACUCCUGACUGACCGAUAGUGAACCAGUACCGUGAGGGAAAGGCGAAAAGAACCCCGGCGAGGGGAGUGAAAAAGAACCUGAAACCGUGUACGUACAAGCAGUGGGAGCACCUUCGGGUGUGACUGCGUACCUUUUGUAUAAUGGGUCAGCGACUUAUAUUCUGUAGCAAGGUUAACCGUAUAGGGGAGCCGCAGGGAAACCGAGUCUUAACUGGGCGUUAAGUUGCAGGGUAUAGACCCGAAACCCGGUGAUCUAGCCAUGGGCAGGUUGAAGGUUGGGUAACACUAACUGGAGGACCGAACCGACUAAUGUUGAAAAAUUAGCGGAUGACUUGUGGCUGGGGGUGAAAGGCCAAUCAAACCGGGAGAUAGCUGGUUCUCCCCGAAAGCUAUUUAGGUAGCGCCUCGUGAACUCAUCUUCGGGGGUAGAGCACUGUUUCGGCUAGGGGGUCAUCCCGACUUACCAACCCGAUGCAAACUACGAAUACCGAAGAAUGUUAUCACGGGAGACACACGGCGGGUGCUAACGUCCGUCGUGAAGAGGGAAACAACCCAGACCGCCAGCUAAGGUCCCAAAGUCAUGGUUAAGUGGGAAACGAUGUGGGAAGGCACAGACAGCCAGGAUGUUGGCUUAGAAGCAGCCAUCAUUUAAAGAAAGCGUAAUAGCUCACUGGUCGAGUCGGCCUGCGCGGAAGAUGUAACGGGGCUAAACCAUGCACCGAAGCUGCGGCAGCGACACUAUGUGUUGUUGGGUAGGGGAGCGUUCUGUAAGCCUGCGAAGGUGUGCUGUGAGGCAUGCUGGAGGUAUCAGAAGUGCGAAUGCUGACAUAAGUAACGAUAAAGCGGGUGAAAAGCCCGCUCGCCGGAAGACCAAGGGUUCCUGUCCAACGUUAAUCGGGGCAGGGUGAGUCGACCCCUAAGGCGAGGCCGAAAGGCGUAGUCGAUGGGAAACAGGUUAAUAUUCCUGUACUUGGUGUUACUGCGAAGGGGGGACGGAGAAGGCUAUGUUAGCCGGGCGACGGUUGUCCCGGUUUAAGCAUGUAGGCUGGUUGUCCAGGCAAAUCCGGAUAAUCAAGGCUGAGGUGUGAUGACGAGGCACUACGGUGCUGAAGUAACAAAUGCCCUGCUUCCAGGAAAAGCCUCUAAGCAUCAGGUAACAUCAAAUCGUACCCCAAACCGACACAGGUGGUCAGGUAGAGAAUACCAAGGCGCUUGAGAGAACUCGGGUGAAGGAACUAGGCAAAAUGGUGCCGUAACUUCGGGAGAAGGCACGCUGGUGUGUAGGUGAAGCCCCUGCGGGUGGAGCUGAGACCAGUCGAAGAUACCAGCUGGCUGCAACUGUUUAUUAAAAACACAGCACUGUGCAAACACGAAAGUGGACGUAUACGGUGUGACGCCUGCCCGGUGCCGGAAGGUUAAUUGAUGGGGUUAUCCGUAAGGAGAAGCUCUUGAUCGAAGCCCCGGUAAACGGCGGCCGUAACUAUAACGGUCCUAAGGUAGCGAAAUUCCUUGUCGGGUAAGUUCCGACCUGCACGAAUGGCGUAAUGAUGGCCAGGCUGUCUCCACCCGAGACUCAGUGAAAUUGAACUCGCUGUGAAGAUGCAGUGUACCCGCGGCAAGACGGAAAGACCCCGUGAACCUUUACUAUAGCUUGACACUGAACAUUGAGCCUUGAUGUGUAGGAUAGGUGGGAGGCUUUGAAGCGUGGACGCCAGUCUGCGUGGAGCCAACCUUGAAAUACCACCCUUUAAUGUUUGAUGUUCUAACGUUGGCCCCUUAUCGGGGUUGCGGACAGUGUCUGGUGGGUAGUUUGACUGGGGCGGUCUCCUCCCAAAGCGUAACGGAGGAGCACGAAGGUUAGCUAAUCCUGGUCGGACAUCAGGAGGUUAGUGCAAUGGCAUAAGCUAGCUUGACUGCGAGCGUGACGGCGCGAGCAGGUGCGAAAGCAGGUCAUAGUGAUCCGGUGGUUCUGAAUGGAAGGGCCAUCGCUCAACGGAUAAAAGGUACUCCGGGGAUAACAGGCUGAUACCGCCCAAGAGUUCAUAUCGACGGCGGUGUUUGGCACCUCGAUGUCGGCUCAUCACAUCCUGGGGCUGAAGUAGGUCCCAAGGGUAUGGCUGUUCGCCAUUUAAAGUGGUACGCGAGCUGGGUUUAGAACGUCGUGAGACAGUUCGGUCCCUAUCUGCCGUGGGCGCUGGAGAAUUGAGGGGGGCUGCUCCUAGUACGAGAGGACCGGAGUGGACGCAUCACUGGUGUUCGGGUUGUCAUGCCAAUGGCACUGCCCGGUAGCUAAAUGCGGAAGAGAUAAGUGCUGAAAGCAUCUAAGCACGAAACUUGCCCCGAGAUGAGUUCUCCCUGAGACUUUAAGUCUCCUGAAGGAACGUUGAAGACGACGACGUUGAUAGGCCGGGUGUGUAAGCGCAGCGAUGCGUUGAGCUAACCGGUACUAAUGAACCGUGAGGCUUAACCUU